AACGAACGCUGGCGGCAGGCUUAACACAUGCAAGUCGAACGCCCCGCAAGGGGAGUGGCAGACGGGUGAGUAACGCGUGGGAAUCUACCCAGAUCUACGGAACAACAGUUGGAAACGACUGCUAAUACCGUAUACGCCCUACGGGGGAAAGAUUUAUCGGAUUUGGACGAGCCCGCGUUGGAUUAGCUAGUUGGUGGGGUAAUGGCCUACCAAGGCGACGAUCCAUAGCUGGUCUGAGAGGAGGAUCAGCCACACUGGGACUGAGACACGGCCCAGACUCCUGCGGGAGGCAGCAGUGGGGAAUAUUGGACAAUGGGCGCAAGCCUGAUCCAGCCAUGCCGCGUGAGUGAUGAAGGCCUUAGGGUUGUAAAGCUCUUUUACCCGGGAUGAUAAUGACAGUACCGGGUGAAUAAGCUCCGGCUAACUCCGUGCCAGCCGCCGCAGUAAGAC
rnacentral:rRNA from 1 species